GAAGAAGAGCUGCCAGGUCCUGGGAGAACAAGAACAGUGCUUUCUCCAAAUUUUAACAGGAGUACACGAUAACAUCACUAUUGUAAAACCUCAGAUUGGUGCUCAAGAUAGUUUUCAGACCCUGCACUUGAUGGAUCAGCUGGCACUACUCAGAUCAACACACUGGCUCACCUGGUCUUGUGGCCCCCACCCAGGAAAUGACUCAGCACAAGAGGACAGCUUUGACUCCCUGUGAUUUCAUCUCAGACCCAACCAGUCAGCUCUCCCUACUACUUGGCCCCCUACCCACCAAAUUAUCCUUAAAAAACCCCAGCCUCUAAAUUUUGGGGGUGACUGUUUUGAGUAAUAAUAAAACUCUGGUAUCCCAUUGAGCCAGCUCUGCAUGAAUUAGUUAACUGUUUCUCUCUUGCAGUUCCUCUGUCUUGAUAAAUCAGCCUGUCUGGGCAGUGGGCAAAAUGAACCCCCAACAGGAGGAUUUCAAAUGUAAAGAAGACACUUGGGCUGAGAUAUCCGGCUGAUCCGAACUCCAACAUGAAGCAUCCUUUCUGCUUUAGAUUGACCCCCAAAGAGUGAAGGACUAGGAAGCCAAAAGUGUCACACGGUCAAAAAUGCUUCCAUCUACUGGUGAAACUCAGGAAUACACUAACAUUUCCCUGCCUGAAAUGGUUAGUUGAGGACACAAAGCAACCCAAAGCGAGCGGAGCUUGGCCAUGGAGCUCAGAAAUUCAAAAUAGUCAGUUCUUGCUGAUGGUGAAG
rnacentral:lncRNA from 10 species